rnacentral:rRNA from 1 species
UGCAAGUCGAGCGGACAGAUGGGAGCUUGCUCCCUGAUGUUAGCGGCGGACGGGUGAGUAACACGUGGGUAACCUGCCUGUAAGACUGGGAUAACUCCGGGAAACCGGGGCUAAUACCGGAUGCUUGUUUGAACCGCAUGGUUCAAACAUAAAAGGUGGCUUCGGCUACCACUUACAGAUGGACCCGCGGCGCAUUAGCUAGUUGGUGAGGUAACGGCUCACCAAGGCGACGAUGCGUAGCCGACCUGAGAGGGUGAUCGGCCACACUGGGACUGAGACACGGCCCAGACUCCUACGGGAGGCAGCAGUAGGGAAUCUUCCGCAAUGGACGAAAGUCUGACGGAGCAACGCCGCGUGAGUGAUGAAGGUUUUCGGAUCGUAAAGCUCUGUUGUUAGGGAAGAACAAGUGCCGUUCAAAUAGGGCGGCACCUUGACGGUACCUAACCAGAAAGCCACGGCUAACUACGUGCCAGCAGCCGCGGUAAUACGUAGGUGGCAAGCGUUGUCCGGAAUUAUUGGGCGUAAAGGGCUCGCAGGCGGUUUCUUAAGUCUGAUGUGAAAGCCCCCGGCUCAACCGGGGAGGGUCAUUGGAAACUGGGGAACUUGAGUGCAGAAGAGGAGAGUGGAAUUCCACGUGUAGCGGUGAAAUGCGUAGAGAUGUGGAGGAACACCAGUGGCGAAGGCGACUCUCUGGUCUGUAACUGACGCUGAGGAGCGAAAGCGUGGGGAGCGAACAGGAUUAGAUACCCUGGUAGUCCACGCCGUAAACGAUGAGUGCUAAGUGUUAGGGGGUUUCCGCCCCUUAGUGCUGCAGCUAACGCAUUAAGCACUCCGCCUGGGGAGUACGGUCGCAAGACUGAAACUCAAAGGAAUUGACGGGGGCCCGCACAAGCGGUGGAGCAUGUGGUUUAAUUCGAAGCAACGCGAAGAACCUUACCAGGUCUUGACAUCCUCUGACAAUCCUAGAGAUAGGACGUCCCCUUCGGGGGCAGAGUGACAGGUGGUGCAUGGUUGUCGUCAGCUCGUGUCGUGAGAUGUUGGGUUAAGUCCCGCAACGAGCGCAACCCUUGAUCUUAGUUGCCAGCAUUCAGUUGGGCACUCUAAGGUGACUGCCGGUGACAAACCGGAGGAAGGUGGGGAUGACGUCAAAUCAUCAUGCCCCUUAUGACCUGGGCUACACACGUGCUACAAUGGGCAGAACAAAGGGCAGCGAAACCGCGAGGUUAAGCCAAUCCCACAAAUCUGUUCUCAGUUCGGAUCGCAGUCUGCAACUCGACUGCGUGAAGCUGGAAUCGCUAGUAAUCGCGGAUCAG